rnacentral:rRNA from 1 species
AACGCCGCGUGUGUGAUGAAGGCUUUCGGGUCGUAAAGCACUGUUGUAUGGGAAGAAAUGCUAAAAUAGGGAAUGAUUUUAGUUUGACGGUACCAUACCAGAAAGGGACGGCUAAAUACGUGCCAGCAGCCGCGGUAAUACGUAUGUCCCGAGCGUUAUCCGGAUUUAUUGGGCGUAAAGCGAGCGCAGACGGUUGAUUAAGUCUGAUGUGAAAGCCCGGAGCUCAACUCCGGAAUGGCAUUGGAAACUGGUUAACUUGAGUGUUGUAGAGGUAAGUGGAACUCCAUGUGUAGCGGUGGAAUGCGUAGAUAUAUGGAAGAACACCAGUGGCGAAGGCGGCUUACUGGACAACAACUGACGUUGAGGCUCGAAAGUGUGGGUAGCAAACAGGAUUAGAUACCCUGGUAGUCCACACCGUAAACGAUGAAUACUAGGUGUUAGGAGGUUUCCGCCUCUUAGUGCCGAAGCUAACGCAUUAAGUAUUCCGCCUGGGGAGUACGACCGCAAGGUUGAAACUCAAAGGAAUU